UACGUAGGGUGCAAGCGUUGUCCGGAUUUAUUGGGCGUAAAGAGCUCGUAGGCGGUUUGUCGCGUCUGCUGUGAAAACCCGAGGCUCAACCUCGGGCCUGCAGUGGGUACGGGCAGACUAGAGUGCGGUAGGGGAGAUUGGAAUUCCUGGUGUAGCGGUGGAAUGCGCAGAUAUCAGGAGGAACACCGAUGGCGAAGGCAGAUCUCUGGGCCGUAACUGACGCUGAGGAGCGAAAGCAUGGGGAGCGAACAGG
rnacentral:rRNA from 1 species